CACGUUCAACAGGUUUCUCAACAUUGUGAGAAAGCAUUUCUGUCACAGUGUGAGCAGCGUGUGGAUGGUGAAACUGAGCGCUAUGCUGUUUGAUAAAGCCUAUGCUCGGAUAAAAUAAUGAUAAUAAAGCAGCGUUGGAGCGCCAUCUGGAGAAAUACUCCUUCAUCCCUUUCAUAUACGCUUCAAUCUCUUGCUUUUGGCUUGUCACUAGUUACCACAGACACAAAGUCAAAAUGGUCUAUAUCGUAAAAAAUUAAUGAAUACAAAGAAAUAGCUUUUUGGUCUUAAUUUAAGGUUAGCAGUGUGGUUAAGGUAAGGGUUAGGUUUAAAAUCUGAUUUUAAGAAGAUAAAUUGUAGAAGUUGGUGGGGGUUAGGCAAUUAUGCCUUUGUGGCUGUGGUAACUAGUGACGACCAUCAUCUUGCUUCCUCAAAUCGAGAACAUGUGUGGAAAUAACAACAACAACAACACGGCAAGCCAGGGGCUCACCUACGAUGGUUGUAGUCUUUUCAGACAAAUACUAACGUUAGUGAUGUUAUCAACGCUAAGUGGCAAAAGAGUCAAAAUACAAUACAUACGAUCUAAAGAUGAUAACCCAGGACUUUUAGAGAUUUUGAAGCCAGUUUCAUCAGGCUUCUGGACAAGGAACGGUGCUGUUCUACCAGCCAGGCCUGCUGGACGGCGGCGUGGUGGAACAUGACUGUACCACCUAGUGCUCUGUGGGUUGCUACCUGGUUUCCCUACUCAUGCUGGCUCCCUUCAUGAAGCAUCCUUUUGAAGGCUGUGCUGAAGGGGGUCACCAACGACCCCCUCGGUGAGACCAUGUUCCUUUCCUACCUUAAAAGUACUUUACGAAAACUGCUGGCGUAAAAAUGGCUUUAUAAAUACAUUUGAUUGGUUAUAUCAGCCUGCUGAAUUCUUCCCCCUUCUCUCAGAAGUGUGCACUCGUAGAGAAUCGGACCGCAGCCUUUAUUUUUGCUUUGUCCCAUUUUCCACACCUGUGGGCUGCCAUUGUAGUCACGCGAGAGUAAGCUACAACGUAAUCUCCCACAUCUACAGGCGGAAAAUGGGAGACCUUGGAUAAAAACGUGUUUUAAAAGCUUAUUUUAAUUACCACGUUUUCUGCGCUAAACUAUGUAGAAUAUUGGCCUGUUGGAAACUAUAGCUCCAUACUACAUCGCAGUUCAGGCUUGAUCGGAUGUAUCGCUACAGAAACUGCACAUUGAGCUCACAAAAACAAAAAAAUGAACGAAAUGGAAUUCAAAUAAUUGAACCGACGUCGGUCAAAUAGUUGUUUAAAAAAACGAAAAAUAACCGACAUUUCGGUUAAUGGAUCGGUACUAUAAUUUUUUUUUACAUUUGGUACUACUGUCAAAUGUGUCUCACGUAGUCUACUGAUUGAGAGAAGAUCAAGUCUAUCAGCGCAGCUGAUGUUCCCCGUUGUGCCUGCUCCACAUCGCUAGCUCUAGCCCAGGGAUCUCCAACAGGCAGCCCACCAGUGAGUAUCUCACCAAUCAAUUCUGAAAGUACAUGCUUUUUUUCACGUGUUUCAUUUCAAACUGUCAUAAACCUAAAGCUCCUGGCUACUAUCCAAUCAAAGCCACAUUGACAUUAUCCCACACCUGGUUAACCCCUACUUAAAAAGCCAAACGUAACACAAUAUCUGCCAAUUAAUUUCAAGCAAUAUUGCCCGUCUGUCUGUUUGGUGCGUGCAUUUGUCUAUCACUCAGUAUGUAGCCAGUUAGCGACGCUAAUGAUAACUGUCUUGUGGGUGGUAGACUUUCCCCCAAAAAAGAUUUUGAAAGCUAUCAACAAAAAAAAAAAAGAGUAGCUCGUGACGUUUUCAUUUUUGAAAAGUACCUCUCAUGCUAAAAAAGGUUGGAGACCCUCUACUCUAGCCUGUCCUGAGGAACCACUGCACUCACUGGGAGUCUGGCCUGCAUCACCACUCAUGCUGCACAGAACUGUUAAUUACUGUUUGCAAAACAA